rnacentral:rRNA from 1 species
CCUACGGGAGGCAGCAGUGAGGAAUAUUGGUCAAUGGGCGCGAGCCUGAACCAGCCAAGUAGCGUGAAGGAUGACUGCCCUACGGGUUGUAAACUUCUUUUAUAAAGGAAUAAAGUGCGGCACGUGUGCCUUUUUGUAUGUACUUUAUGAAUACGGAUCGGCUAACUCCGUGCCCGCGGCCGAGGUAAUACGGAGGAUCCGAGCGUUAUCCGGAUUUAUUGGGGUUAAAGGGAGCGUAGAUGGGUUGUUAAGUCAGUUGUGAAAGUUUGCGGCUCAACCGUAAAAUUGCAAUUGAUACUGGCAGUCUUGAGUACAGUUGAGGUAGGCGGAAUUCGUGGUGUAGCGGUGAAAUGCUUAGAUAUCACGAAGAACUCCGAUUGCGAAGGCAGCUUACUAAACUGUGACUGACAUUGAGGCUCGAAAGUGUGGGGAUCAAACAGGAUUAGAUACCCUAGUAGUC